AAUCAACGCUGGCGGCGUGCCUCAGACAUGCAAGUCGAACGAUUAAAGCUCUCUUCGGAGAGUGCAUAGAGUGGCGCACGGGUGAGUAACACGUAAGUAAUCUACCCUCGAGUGGGGAAUAACAGUCGGAAACGACUGCUAAUACCGCAUAACGCAGCGGCACCGCAAGGUGACAGUUGUUAAAGGAGUAAUCCGCUUGAGGAGGAGCUUGCGGCAGAUUAGCUAGUUGGUAAGGUAAUGGCUUACCAAGGCUACGAUCUGUAUCCGGUCUAAGAGGACGGUCGGACACACUGACACUGAAUAACGGGUCAGACUCCUACGGGAGGCAGCAGUCGGGAAUUUUGGGCAAUGGGCGAAAGCCUGACCCAGCAACGCCGCGUGAAGGAUGAAGUAUUUCGGUAUGUAAACUUCGAAAGAAUGGGAAGAAUAAAUGACGGUACCAUUUAUAAGCUCCGGCUAACUACGUGCCAGCCGCCGCGGUAAGAC
rnacentral:rRNA from 1 species